GCUGGGGAUACAGCUCAGUUGGUAGAGUACUUGCCUCGCAUGUACAAGGCCCUGGGUUCAAUUCCCAGCACAACA
rnacentral:tRNA from 1 species